rnacentral:sRNA from 1 species
UGAUUAACAUGGUUUUGAAGAUUUUCAA